rnacentral:sRNA from 1 species
AGGAGGACGGCGUGGACCCCAUGCUGACCCUGGAGGAGCAGCAGCUCCGCGAACUGCAGCGGCACGGCUAUGAGAACCCCACCUACCGCUUCCUGGAGGAACGACCCUGACCCGGCCCCCUUCACCCCUUCAGCCGAGCCCAGACCUCCUCUCUUCCUGGAGCCCCAGAACCCCAACUCCCAGCCUAGGGCAGCAGGGAGUCUUGAAGUGAUCGUUUCACACCCUUUUGUGAGAGGGCUGGAAAUUCUUAUUUCCCCUUUCCAAUUCCAAAUUCCAUCCCUAAGAAUUCCCAGAUAGUCCCAGCAGCCUCCCCACGUGGCACCUCCUCACCUUAAUUUAUUUUUUAAGUUUAUUUAUGGCUCUUUAAGGUGACCGCCACCUUGGUCCUAGUGUCUAUUCACUGGAAUUCACCCUCUCAUGUUUCCCUACUAACAUCCCAAUAAAGUCCUCUUCCCUACC